rnacentral:ncRNA from 1 species
UACCUUUGCCUCGCUUUUGGUUCCCGGUCGCACUGGCCGGGAUUAAAAGGGAAUACGGUGUAAUUCCGUAACUGUCCCGCAGCUGUAAGCUCUGUAACGGUGUUCAAAUCGGGCCACUUUUUAUCUGAGGAAAAGAUAAUUGGGAAGGCAGAAUAUCCGGGAGCAAGUCAGAAGACCUGCCAAAAGUGGUAAUAUUUC